UCAUGUCUUCCUCAAGAUUUUGAACACCAUCUCUUGAAAACAGUCUGAAUGAAAAUAUCUCUUAAUUUAUACUUUUCUUUUUAUUUGCCAUGUUCCUUCUAGACUUCAACAAAAAAGUAAAAUGGAUUUUAUCAUACUUGGAAAACCAACAAUUGCAGUCUGGAUUCAAGCAUCACUGUUUGAUGCACCCAACUUGAGUCAAAAAGAUGCUUCAAAUCCCACUAGGCUGGAGCCAUCUGAAGAUUUGCCUGAGACUGAAGGAUUCACUUCUACGAUGGCUCCUUCAGAUGGAGCCAGAUUGAGAAAAACCAACCAACCAACCAACCAACCAACCAACGAACAGCAUGAUGGCUGAACCAGACAAGAGAAGUCCUGAAGAAAAAUACUUAUCAAUUACCAGAAUCUGUGCCUGCCAUACAUCAAAGGUAUUUUAUCCAUGACAGCAUGCUGCUUUUUGUGGUGUUUUGAUUGACAUCACAAUUUCUUAGCAGUCCUUCCACAGCCAUUCUGAGAUAGCAUCGAGAAAUCAAUGAAACUUCAGAAUAGGAAGUAUUUGUGUCUAUAGACUAAUGUGGCACAUUCCAUCUUGGAAAAUGUAAUCCUUAUAGGAAGAUAGAAAGAAUCUUGGUAGCAGUAUAUGCUGGGAAUAUACUCAGCGAUUUCCCAUGUAUUUUCUAGAUUUAGGAAAUCAUAAAUCAAGAGAAGAAUGUGGGAGGUGCUGGCACCUUAGUGGAGGGAAGUUGUCUCAAGCAAACAGCUACACAGAUAUGAGGAAUUGGGCUUUUUAGCCAUGACUUACAGCUGCCAGUCCAAAUUGUAUAACAUCAGAAAAAUAUAUUAAAAAGUAUCAACUCCCAUUGAAUCUAUGCUUGGCAAAAAUAUAUUUGAUAUUCAUCUAUUUUGAUUCCUGAAAUAAUCCUAAACUAGGUAUGGUGGAUGUUAUCCUACAAAUGAAGAUGCUAAGGCCCAAGGGGGUUAAUGUCGCGCUUAGUUUUUAAGAAAAGAGUGGAAAUCCUGUGUACUUACUCAAGCCCAGUUAUCUUUCCACGAUGUUUUAAACUGACAAACCAAUAACAAGAAAGAUGAACAAAGGGUUAAACUCAAACUCACCAGAAAUAUUUGGAGUCCAAAACAGAGUGAAUGGUGGUGGUUGCUAUCUUGUAAUUGUAAUCUGUAUGUCAAAAUAGGACAAUCCUGUGGAAAGAAUUAACUUGAAAGUGGAAAGCAUGGGCAAAAUGAGGAAGUUGUAAAAAAUGGUGCUAUACAAUAGCUUUUGUUGUUGUUGUCACUAGUAGUGGCAUUCCUUGUUUUUUAACUUUUCGAAAUAUAUGGGUAACAUAACACUUAUUCUUGAAUUCGUCACAUUCUUUUAAAACAAUUAUUUACUGUCUCUCAUUUCUCUUGUGCCUUUAAAAAAUUUUAUAUUUUCCUUGCUUCCAAGGUGUCUCUAUAUCCGUAAUCAGAAACUCCCAAACUUUGCUGUAGGUUUUGAUGGGACACCUGUAAUUAACUCCCAGCAGUGAUUGCCUAAUUUAAAUUAUAAACCCCUGGGACAAGCUCUGGGUCUAAUUUUUCAUUCUGUAGCCUACUUUGAACAAACUUUCAGAACGCCAAGCCUGGCUGUGGUCCCCUCUCUCCUGCCUGCCUUUAUGUGCUGGUCCUCUUGUCCGUAAAACACUCUGAAUGGAAAUUAAGGCUAUAGCAAACCAAGUGAGCAUAGAGCCUUAUUAACAGAGAACCUGAUUUCAUCUCUCUGCUUCAACUCCUUAGUCUCUGACUUCUUUAUUCCACAUGACUCUGCAAACCUAUGUCUGAACUUACAUUCUCCUGAAACCGGAACGGAUGAAACUCAUUAGGUAAUGCCAGCGCUCUUACUGAUCUUCACCUCAAACCUCAGGAAACAAAGCCAGGCAUGAUAUCCUCAGCUUUUAUGUUCUUCCUUUUUUUGCUUAGGCCUGAAAGUUGCAGAUAGGAUGCAUCUAAAAUUGGAGUUUAGGAGGCAUAGUUUUUCAAAGGGUUUUUACUGGGCAGGAAAUGCCAUAUCCUAAAGGGUAGCAGUGUGUUCCUAUAGCUGGUACAGACAUCUGAAGUAAUUUAAAACCAACAUGAAUGAUAACCACAUUUUUGGCUUAUAAAUUUAAAACCAAGAAGAAGGAGUGGGCAAUGAUCAGGAUUCCAUAUUCAUUGUAGGGGAGCAAUUAAAACAUAGAUAAUUCAGUAUAUUUUGGACUUUGUUGGCUAACCAACAGUAUAAUAAAUCACAAAAAUUAUUAUUUCAAUGAUUUAAAUAGAUAACUGCAGCUACAACUUCUGAAAUGUUGAAUGGAUAAAUGAGGGCCUAUGCUUUGGUCAGUACACUGUAAGGCUUUGCAGUUGGCACCCUAUGCCCAGCUUCUUUUCCUGGCACAGUGCUAAAAUGGCACAUACAACUUCCAUCAGCACCAGCGUGUUCGUCAUUUAGCAUUUAGGAACACAGUGAAUAGCAAUUAUCAGCCAAAUAGCUGGGAAGUGAAAAUGACCUAGUAAUCAGAGUAAAUAUACAUUAUGUUGUCAUAGUAUAAUGUGUAAAUAUUGGAGAGGAAUAGCAGAACAUGGACAUGCAGAAUCUUUCUUUUAAGGCCUUGUAUGAACACAAGUACUAUCUUGGCUCUGGCAUGUUUUCUGGAUGACAGCUACUAAACAUGUUGAUUUAGUAAGUAGUAGGUCAUCUUAAUCAUUUGCUCACUUACAGGUACCAUGACCAGAAAAGGCAUUGCCCUGAGUUUUUAUAAAUCCUAAAUUUGGCUCCCAAUGACCAGGAGACAUAUGGAGAGAUGAUAGCAGCUUGGUGGGAGUUCAGACAUUAUAAACCUUGCACAGACAGUUGCUUUAGCUCCUUAUUCCAAUCCAAAUGUAUGUUAAUUUUACAGAAUCCUUCCUUUGUUAAGCUGGGAAAAUAUGAAAAGCCACCAAUGUCAUUUUGCUUAUAUUCAUCUUCUUAGCAAAUCAGAUGGGGAUAGUAUCAAUGUUGCAAAAUGUUGCUAAACUGAGUACCUGGAUUUUACAUGCUGUGCUGCACAGAGACAGAGAAGAAUAGGCAGAAAUUUUAUUUUAGAAACUUUUAUGGGUGCAAUAUCCUGGGAAAAUUAGGCUAACUGAUGGGAUAAGUUUGUUAGCAAGAUUCUAAACAGCAGACACACAUAAUUUCCCCACUUUUAAAACUAAGGGUUAACAGACUUGGAGAGAAUAAAUCAAUAAUGCCUCUAUAGCAGAAGGUAAAGGAGAGUGAUGGUGGUAGUAAAUAUUUAUUUUUUGUAGGCACCUUUUCCAAAUUUCUUGAAGCUUUUUGCUAUUUUGUGGGUAGGAGGGAGUGGAUCUUCUCCCUGCAUUGAGCACAGUCUUGGUUUUGGCAAAUUCAGGUACCUGUCUCAUCUCUUUGGAAGUAUGGGCUUCCCUGAGUUUCUUUCCAUCAGAUUAUCUUUCUUACUGCUCCAUGACAGGCAAGCAAUGAGCAUGUGCCCUAAACUUAGCUAAUCACUCUCCUAAAAAACAAACAAAACAAAAGGCAGAGUCCAAUCAUUCUAGAAGAGGAUGUCCAUGGAGAUACUGCUGAGACUUUGGAAGCUACCUGGUUUUUGAUGGUUUCUUCAGUCUUCUCUAUGAUCAUGUACAUUGUCCCGUAGCUUCCUAAUAAUAUGAUUCUUGCUCAAAUUAAGUAGGCUUGCUUCUGUUGCUAGCAACCAAAGAACCUUAAUUAAUACAGUUUUUAAAUUCUACCUAAAAUGCUGCAAAUAACUACUUAUCACCAGAGCAGAGGGUCAGAGAAACCACCAUGUUUGGGGUAGAUCUUUGGUGGUAAGAAGGUCAAUUGGAAUAUAGAAUUAUAAUAUUCAGACUGUGUAAGUCAUAUGGGUAAUCUUAAGAUCUCAAAAUAGUUUCUGCCCAUGUUUCUAGGUCUUUCUCUACUUCAUCUUCUCACAGUUUGAUUAAUUAGGAUGGAGUUGAACCAUCUGUACUUUUUGGCCUAAACAAGGUCCAAUACAUAAGAUAAACUCACUAAUGGAAUCUUGAUUUAAUGUAUACCCAAAAUGUAAUCUAUAAUCAGGGAAGUUUGCAAAGAAAACUGCACCUACUGUGCCCAGGGAGAAUGGUUUUCCUUGUCAAUAUCCAAGCAGCAACCAGGGAGUUAGGCUGGUGCAAAAGUAAUUGUGUUUUUAAAUUUUUUUUGUCUUUCCAGAACUCUAAUAUCAAAAUAUUUCUUAAUUAGGUUUACAAAUUUUUUGUCUUAGCUGCUAUAGGGAAUCAAACAUAAGGUACUGUUUCUGCCUACAGAAGCACAUAACUUCUUUGAAGAGAUUGCCAGACUAACUAGAAAGUUCUAUGAGAAAGAAGAUAGGGACUGGAUGUGGUGGCUCAUGCCUGUAAUCCAGCACUUUG